UACAGAGGUCCCAAGCGUUGUUCGGAUUCAUUGGGCGUAAAGGGUGCGUAGGCGGCGCGGUAAGUCGGGUGUGAAAUCUCGGAGCUUAACUCCGAAACUGCAUUCGAUACUGCCGUGCUUGAGGACUGGAGAGGAGACUGGAAUUUACGGUGUAGCGGUGAAAUGCGUAGAUAUAGUAAGGAAGACCAGUGGCGAAGGCGGGUCUCUGGACAGUUCCUGACGCUGAGGCACGAAGGCCAGGGGAGCAAACGGG
rnacentral:rRNA from 1 species